rnacentral:lncRNA from 1 species
CUCAAAUCAAAAGAUCCUAGGUCUCUAUCACUUAUGGUGUUCCAGUUUAAAAUACAUUUCAAAAUUUCUAAUACAAAAGGGGAAAUAACUCUCAUAUGGAGCGUUCAUAUUGCUUCGGUCGAAAUUAGACAAAUCAUGCGAAGGAUAUAACGAGCAAUUUCAUAAAAUAAAUUUGUCGUAAUCUUUUACGGUUGCGAAGGAGUCGUGGACACAAGGAAAACAGUGUUUGGGGAGAUAAUUCCUACAAAAAAAAGUAUUCCGUUACGCAGGGUAAAUUUCAAAAGCGCAUAAACUGUUUGAUAUCAUAUACCAAAUAUCUAAGCGACAUAUUGCGAAACAAAUAUUUAUCGCAAGAACAAAAUUAGGCGGAAGAAAAAA